GGGGUUGUAGUUAAGUGAUAAAGCACAUGCCUAGUAUGCAUGAGGCACCGGUUUCAAUCCUCUACACCU
rnacentral:tRNA from 1 species